UAGGAUUGCGAGAUUGUGUGUUCGAGUCCCACCUCGUGCCUUGGUUUUACAUCUGGCAGAGUGAGGAAUGAGUGUGCUCUGGUUUUGGUCGUCUAGGUAGAGGUGGACGACAGUGUUUGUAGACGAUGGGGUGAUGGGGUUUUCUGAAAUGUGCGCGCAGUCGGUAUUUGCAACUGUCCUUUUGGGCCGUAAGGACCGGAGGACUGUGGUCGGCAGAUGUGCUAAGAGGACCACAGGCUGUCACCCUGGGGGAUGCCCUGGGAAGUAAGGAGAGCCAGGGACGCCUGGCCGUCUCCGGGGAUCGGUCAGAGGGACCGAGUUCUGUUGAAGCGGAAGCUUCCCCCUCCAAAAUCGUCUGAUUCUUUUGCCUGCUUGUGGAGGACAAGAAAGGGGCGAGUGUGUCUGGAUCUGUUGGUUUCUUGUGUAUGUGUUUAGAGCUAUGUGAAAAUCUAGAGAAGCAAAGGUAAUUCUCAUAGGUGCUUUAUACCCUGACUAGAGAUAGUUUACACCUGAGACGUGAGAGAAUGGGUUUUGAGAAAAGCUGUACUCUCCGACCAUCUGGGGAAAAUUUGGUUAAAAUAAAAUAAAAUAAACAGUAUCAAUUGGUCUUUGGAGUCCUGCCCCUGUAGUUAGGAAUCUAGUGUGGCUGGAGAAGCCCUGCUAGGAGCUGAUUAUAAACACUGCUCUUAUAGGGACCAGCAGCUUCUCAAGUUCUAUGGUAAGGGAACAGAUGGCUGUUUUUCCUACAAAAAUCUCUGUGCUUGUGAUUAUUGGAUUCAUCAGGUGACAAGGUGCUCCUCUCUUGAAAUUACAGCUAGAAAAAUUAAGAAUUUUGUUUGGUUUAAAUGGGCAAAUGUAUACGGCCAUUUCAUUUUUGUUUCUAAAUAGUUUCAAAAGUAUAAAUAUGUUUUAGAUGUCUUGGUUAUAGAUUAUGAUUAGAAAUUUGUAACAUUGGUAACAAAAAGUUGACUUAAAACUGGUAACUCUGGGUUAGAGUAAUUCAGAACAUGUGGCAUGAGCCAACCCAUGGGAACAGGUCUCCAAAGAUACGCCUGAAUUGGGUAAUAUUCUAUGUAAUUCUUAUCCUAGAAACCCGACUUAUAACAGAUAUAUUGGCGGCUACACCUUCUUGUGUUUGUGUGCAGGAACGGACAGCCAAACUUUGUAGCAAGUAAUGCUUUUGGAGUUCAUUUUUAAAGAAAAUAGAUUGUUUACACUGUUAAAAUUGGGUUUUGCUUCUCAAAAUUGUGGCUGUACUCUCGUGUUACAAGAAAAAUUGAAGGCUUCUCCCGAAUCUGAGCCACCAGCUAAACCCAUCGGCUCCUCCAAAAUCUAUAAAGCCUCCUGGGUGGCCUAGUCCACAACCUUCCCCUUAUCCACAGCCUCAACCCCAGCCGCCGAGGGAAUCCCAAACCCCUCCGGGCGUCGAGAGGCAGACCACUGUGGGUACAUGGAGCUGCAGAGCACAGUGUCCGGGUAAACUCUGGACCCGCCCAAACUUCAAGCCCUUCAGUAUUGGUCAUUUUCCUCUGCUGAUCUUUAUAACUUGAAAACUAACCACCCCCUUUCUCAGGAUCCCCAAUGCCUCACAGGGUUGGUAUAGUUCCUUAUGUUCUCUCAUCAGCCUACUUGGGAUGAUUGUCAACAGCUGUUGCAGAUGCUCUUCACAACCGAAGAGCGAGAGAGAAUUCUGUUAGAGGCUAGAAAAAUAGCUCGGAAGCCAACAGGCGGUCUACACAGCUACAAAAUGAGAUCAAUGUGGGAUUCCCUUUGACUCGCCCCCGUUGGGACUGCAGCAUGGCUAAAGAAUGCAGUGACAUAUGAGGAUGUGCAUGUGAACUUUACUCGGGAAGAAUGGGCUUUGCUGGAUCCUUCCCAGAAGAGUCUCUACAAGGAUGUGAUGCUGGAGACCUACAGGACCCUCAGAGCUAUAGGCUGUUAUUGGGAAGACCACAGUAAUGAAGAAAAUUCUCAAACUUCUAGAAGACAUGGAAGGCAUCUUCAAAUGGAAGACAGAACUCAUACUGGAGAUAAAAGCUAUGAAGGUGUGCAAUGUAACAAAGUGCUUUCGAGUCACAAUCAUGCUCAGAUAUAUAAAGGAAUGCUUACUGGAGCCUUUGUACUUUAUACUGGUGGUCAAAUGCAUAGCAGAACACAGGCAGGGGAUAAGCCCUGUGACUGUAACACACUUGGUAAAUCCUGUACAUGCAACAGCCAUCUGCAAAGCCAUAAAAGAACAGAUACUAGAGAGAAUCCUUAUAAAUGUAAUCACUGUGGUAAAGCCUUUGCUCGUCACAGGGAUCUUCAAAACCAUGAAAGGACACAUACUGGAGAGAAGCCCUAUGAAUGUAAGCAAUGUGGUAAAGCCUUUGCUCUUAACAGCUAUCUCCAUAUCCAUGAAAGGACACAUACUGGAGAAAAGCCCUUUGAGUGUAGCCAAUGUGGUAAAGCCUUUGCUUGUCAUAGCCAUCUUCAAAGCCAUAAAAGAACACAUACUGGAGAGAAGCCCUAUGAAUGUAACCAAUGUGGCAAAGCCUUUUCAUGGAACUAUUGUCUUCAAAUUCAUAAAAGAACACAUACUGGAGAGAAGCCCUAUGCAUGUAACCAAUGUGGCAAAGCCUUUGCUUGUCAUAGCCAUCUUCAAAGUCAUGAAAGAACUCAUACUGGAGAGAAGCCCUAUGAAUGUGACCAAUGUGGUAAAGCCUUUUCAUGGAACUAUUGUCUUCAAAUUCAUAAAAGAACACAUACUGGAGAGAAGCCCUAUGAAUGUAACCAAUGUGGCAAAGCCUUUGCUUGUCAUAGCCAUCUUCAAAGGCAUGAAAAGACACAUACUGGAGAGAAGCCCUAUGAAUGUGACCAAUGUGGUAAAGCCUUUUCAUGGAACUAUUGUCUUCAAAUUCAUAAAAGAACACAUACUGGAGAGAAGCCCUAUGCAUGUAACCAAUGUGGCAAAGCCUUUCCUCGUCACCACCAUCUUCAAAACCAUGAAAGGACACAUACUGGAGAGAAGCCCUAUGAAUGUAACCAAUGUGGUAAAACCUUUGCAUGUCACAGUGCUUUUCAAAGGCAUAAAAGAACACAUACUUGAGAGAAGCCCUAUGCAUGUAAAAAAUGUAAAGCCUUUGAUUACCACAGCCAUCUGCCAAGUCAUAAAAGGACACAUGCGGUAGUGAAUCCCUAUGAAAGUAACCAGUUUGAUAAAGCCUUUGUUUGUCACAGCCAUCUUCAAAGCCAUAAAAGGACAUAUACUGGAUAGCAACCCUAUGAAUGUAAUCAGUAUGGGAGAGCAUUUGCAUGUCACAGCAUUGUACAAAGGCAUAAAAGAACACGUACUGGAGAGAAGCCCUAUGAAUAUAAAUAAUGUGGUUAAGCCUCUGCAUGUCACAGUGUUCUUCAAAGGCAUAAAAGCUCACAUUCUGGAGAAAAGCCUUGUGAAAGUAAACAAUGUGGUAAAGCCUUUGGUUGUCAUAGCCAUCUUCAAAGCCAUAAAAGAGCACGUACUGGAGAGAAACCUUCUUCACACGCCAGAACCUCAGCAUCCAGCAGUGAUUUGGCCCUGAUCUAGGGCACAGUGCAGACUACCUGACCUUCUGGAUCUUGCCCAGCUCUCACAAGCUUGCAGACCCCACAGCACCCGGACCACUUAGUGCACAAGAACACAGACUCCCCACCCCAGGGCGUGCAGCCUCCAAGCCUCUCUUCCUGCUCUGCCCAGAUCACAGGCAGGUCUUCCUUCACUGGCAGCCUCCUGGAAGAAGCAAGAGACUCUGGCAGAGGCUUCAGGCUUGCUGGGCAGCAGGAUAAGAAAACUUGUGUGGAGAGAGAUCUUAUUUCUCAUGUCUUCCUUCUCCUGGUGUAGUUUGGCUUCUUUCAAAUACAACUUUUCUACCACUUUGUGGUCAGGAGUGGGUAAAGUGAAAGAAGAGGAGACCCUCCACAGAUGUGCUGGUGAAGAAUUCUUGGAGAUCCAGGGCUUCUGUGUCUCAUCGUAGGGCUUCUGGGAGAAUCACCUGGCUUUAUCUUGAAUACUGAUUAUCCUCUUAAAAAUUACUGAUGUACAAUUGCUACCUCUUAAGAAAAGGAUUCAGUGUUAAAUUGCCAUUUCUGUGUACCAUAUUUAAAUUUUCUUAAAUUUAAUUUUAUUUUUAAUUCAUUUUUUAUACUCCAUAUUCCAUUUCCUGUGCCCCCCCAUCCACCCCACAGCUCCACAUCCUACCCCUCCUCCCACCCCAGCUGACCUCUAAACUCCCUGGGGCUUCCUGUCUCUUGAGGGUUAGGUGCAUCAUCUCUGAAUGAACACUCAUAUUAAUUUCUAAUUUGUUUGCAUUAUCCUGACAUUAAAAAAAUACUAUAUUCUUUUUUCUAUUUCUUUUCAUUUGUAUAUUUUAUACUGAAAAUACAGAAAAUAAACCUGCUGCUGAGAACAUCCUAUCAUGGAAAUUUUCUGCAAUUAUUUAAAGCGUUGUGAUUCCAAAGUAUCCUCUGAUUGCUUAUUGUGAUACUCACAAAAAGUGCUGUAUCCGGCAUUACUCAGACAGGAUCCUUCUGCUGUGAACUGUGGUGAAUGCAUAGACUUAUGGCUGCUACAGAACAAGGCUAAGGGACACACGAGUGCUUGUCUCCAACAGAACACCUAUAGCACAGCCUCUAUAGCUCAGAGCAUGGUGGAAUAUGGGGAGAAAGAAUGCAGGAGCCAGAAGAUGAAAAGAAGGAAUGGAAAUGCACUAUUGUGGUCAUGAACAGACAUAGCAACCAUGGUCUGUCUCCCAACUCUACAGCUUAACUGCACAAGACUCGUUCCCUCACCAUCGUUGGACGUAACAGGGAGCUCAAUGGGCCCAUUUCCCAUUCUGCUCAACUAUUGGCUAGUGGCAGAUCAUGGGAGGAAGGUAGUCAUUGUUUCACAUUUAUACUCAUAUCUGAGCCUACAGCACUCUAGUGUAAAGUCUGAAACCACGGAUCACACAGACAGCCCUGUGUGUCACAAGAUAAACUCAAAGUUGUGAUGGUGAGAAAGAGACUUGGAGAGAGGAGUAUGUGAAGGGAGUGUAAGGGAGAUGAGAGAGGUGGGACAGAGAGGGGAUAACUGAAAUGCACUAUAUAUGUAUAUGGAGUUGUCAAUUUUUAAAUAAAAUUUACAAAUAUAAAAAAUUUUAUAAAUUAA